AAUCCUAUAUAGUUUUGCAGUAAGGCAUCUGUUGUGAAAAAGCUUCCUUGGGACCAGGGCAUACAUGCUCCCUGGAGGAAGGGAAACCCCACUGGUAGCCAGGCCACCCUCCCUGCAGGCCAUGACUGGGGCCUCAGGUCUGGUUCAGAGGCCUGUCCUCACUUAAUCCUCAGAAUGAUGGAAUGAAAUCAUCACACGGCACAAUCUGCUGUGGAUUUCUUUGCGGCUAGUCCAGACCAUCUGGAGCAGUUUCUGAGGAGACUACUUUGCUGUGGGUUGAAUCUUCAGCAAGUGUGUAUUAACACAUUUCCAGUGCAGUCUGCAGGGGUAUUACCAAAGGGAAUCCAAGGCCCUUUGACUAAAAAAUGUAAGCUGACCUGCAGUAUGCAAGUGCAGGGGGUCAACCAUUUGAUGUGGGAUAUAUCUUCAGGCCAUUCGAGUAGCUUCAUAGCUAAGUCUCAAAAUGCAACUUCCUGCAGUUGUGACCCAUGGACCUUUCAAGUACAGUGGAAGACUUGAUAGAUCAAUCAUGCAGUUUCCAGGACUCUCAAGCAUCAUUUGCUUCUCAGCUGAUUUUCUGGUAGUUGAACCAGGACAAUCAUCCAACAUUUUUCUUGUGAAAUAGAGUGUGUUUUAUUAAAAUCAUAUUUUGUAAAAAUUUAAUAAAGCAGCUCAAACUUUUUCAAGGCUAGACAAUACUUUGAAAACUGCUUCCAAAUCCCUGGCCUCAAUAUAUGAAUACUAAUUGUAUCUUAUCUACUGUGGGUUAUUGAAAUCCCAACCAGUAGGAAAGCUAAUCUGACAUCUCCAUUCACAUACACCUUCUUUUGAGCCUCUUUACAAUUCAGUCAGUGUUAUCAAUGAUUAAAUAUCCCAGUGCCUACAGUUUUAACCUUUCUUUUUUUUUUUUUUUUUUUAAAUCCCUUAACUUUUCUUUUUGGUUGUUACUUUCAGUUAGUGAACAGCUCAUUUUUGAGUAAAGACAUUGUGAAAUUCACUUAAAAUGAUUGUUUGAAGAUUUUAUUAAAAAAAAAAAAUCUCUAUAGACAGGCUCUGUCCUUCAUUACAACAAUAGAAAUCCUCAUUGUCUUCAGCAGUAUCACUCCAAAUUUGCAGGAAGGUU